GUUGUAAAGCUCUUUUGUCAGGGAAGAAACGGUGGGGGCUAAUAUCCCCCGCUAAUGACGGUACCUGAAGAAUAAGCACCGGCUAACUACGUGCCAGCAGCCGCGGUAAUACGUAGGGUGCAAGCGUUAAUCGGAAUUACUGGGCGUAAAGCGUGCGCAGGCGGUUUUGUAAGUCUGUCGUGAAAUCCCCGGGCUCAACCUGGGAAUUGCGAUGGAUACUGCAAGGCUAGAGUUUGGCAGAGGGGGGUAGAAUUCCACGUGUAGCAGUGAAAUGCGUAGAUAUGUGGAGGAACACCCAUGGCGAAGGCAGCCCCCUGGGUCAAAACUGACGCUCAUGCACGAAAGCGUGGGGAGCAAACAGGAUUAGAUACCCUGGUAGUC
rnacentral:rRNA from 1 species